rnacentral:misc_RNA from 1 species
UCUCCGUAGGUGAACCUGCGGAGGGAUCAUUACAGAGUUCUAGCCCCUCCGGGUAGAUCUCCCACCCACUGUUAUUGAUACUGUGUUGCUCUGGCGGGCCGCCGGGCCCUGCCCGUCCGCCGGCUCCGGCUGGCGCCCGCCCGCCGUAGGCUCCGCAAACUCUGCAUUUCAGCGCAUUCUUCGUACUAUAUAAUAGUUAAAACUUUCAACAACGGAUCUCUUGGUUCUG